rnacentral:rRNA from 1 species
CAAUAGCGUAUAUUAAAGUUGUUGCAGUUAAAAGCUCGUAGUUGGAUUUGUGGUUCGUCCCGCCGGCUGGGUCAUUGACUUUUGCUGUGCUGGUCGUCCAUCCUUGGGUGGAAUCUGUGUGGCAUUAGGUUGUCGCGCAGGGGAUGCCCAUCGUUUACUGUGAAAAAAUUAGAGUGUUCAAAGCAGGCUUAUGCCGUUGAAUAUAUUAGCAUGGAAUAAUGAUAUAGGACCUUGGUACUAUUUUGUUGGUUUGCGCAUCGAGGUAAUGAUUAAUAGGGACAGUUGGGGGUAUUCGUAUUCCAUUGUAAGAGGUGAAAUUCUUGGAUUUUUGGAAGACGAACUACUGCGAAAGCAUUUACCAAGGAUGUUUUCAUUAA